CAUGUCCUUAAGAUNAUAAUNUAAGGUCUAAUCUGCCCACUGAAAUUUUAAAUGGCCGCAGUAUUUUGACUGUGCUAAGGUAGCAUAAUAAAUAGUUUUUUAAUUGAAAGCUGGAAUGAAUGAUUGGAUGAGAUAAAAACUGUCUUAAAUUUAUUUAAAUUGAAUUUUAUUUUUAAGUUAAAAAGCUUAAAUAAAUUUAAAAGACGAGAAGACCCUAUAGAGUUUAAUAAAAUAAUUUAUUUUUUAUAUAAUUAAAUUAAAAAAUAAAUUGUUUUAUUUUGUUGGGGUGACAAAAAAAUUUAAUUAACUUUUUUUUAUAUUUACAUUAAUUUAUGAUUGUUUGAUCCAUUGUUUAAUGAUUAAAAGAAUAAAUUACCUUAGGGAUAACAGCGUAAUUUUUUUUUAGAGNNCNNAUUAAAAAAAAUGAUUGCGACCUCGAUGUUGGAUUAAAGUUNAAUUUUGGUGUAGAAGCU
rnacentral:rRNA from 1 species